rnacentral:rRNA from 1 species
GGCUUGUUGAGUAUAAUUUCAGGUCUGACCUGCCCAAUGAUGAAUUUAAUGGCCGCGGUAUUUUGACCGUGCAAAGGUAGCAUAAUCACUAGUUUUUUAAAUGAAAGCUUGAAUGAAAGGUUUAAUGAGAAAGAAGCUGUCUCUAUAAAAAUUAAUUGGAAUUUUAUUUUUAAGUUAAAAAGCUUAAAUUUGUGUAGAAGACGAGAAGACCCUAUAGAGUUUUAUAUAAAGUUUAGUAAGAAGAGUUAGGAUGUUAAUUUAUAUAUUAAAAAUUAUAUUUUUUUGGGGCGAUGAAAAAAUUUAAUAAACUUUUUUUUUUGUAAAACAUUGAUUUAUGAGUAUUUGAUCUUAGAAUUUGGAUUAUAAGAAUAAAUUACCUUAGGGAUAACAGCGUAAUUUUUUUUAGAGUUCUUAUUGAAAAAGAAGUUUGCGACCUCGAUGUUGGAUUAAAAUUUAAAUUUGGUGGAGAAGCUAAAUGGAAGGGUCUGUUCGACCUUUAAAAUUUUACAUGAUCUGAGUUUAAACCGGUGUGAG